ACGCUCGACACCUAGGAGGCAGCAGUGGGGAAUAUUGCACAAUGGGGGAAACCCGUGAUGCAGCGACGCCGCGUGGAGGAAGAAGGUCUUCGGAUUGUAAACUCCUGUUGUUGGGGAAAAAGAAGGAUGGUACCCAACAAGGAAGUGACGGCUAACUACGUGGCAGCAGCCGCGGUAAUCUGAGCGGGCUGGCAAGGC
rnacentral:rRNA from 1 species